rnacentral:tmRNA from 1 species
GGGGAUGAAAGGAUUUCGACGGGGGUUUUGAACCGCGAUAAGCGAGCAGCGGCGCGGACCCGCUAUAAAAGCCGCAGUUUAGAAAUAAACGACAGCAACACUGAACUGAAAGCUGCUUAAUUAAGCAGCCGUCCUUACCGGGAGUACCGCGGCCCGGAUAAGGGCGUCGAUGAGCGGUGAACGUGCGCGCGCGAGAGUGACGUACCGCGCCAUGAAUAACGACACUACCGUACCGUCAAGCCUGCCUGCGGGCGCGGCGGGAGGGGAAUCUUAAAUCACAGGCUGCGCUCGGAGAAGGUUGCGGGGAUGAGCUUUCGGACGCGGUUUCGAUUACCGCCAUCUCCACCA